CCAGAACCUCAAGCCAGAGGCUCAGACCUGAACAGACCUUCAUGGUGACAGGUCUCUCUGGCUGAAGCUGAUACAGGAGAUUUAGCCAGAGUUUACAAGGACUACGAGAAACUCAAAAGCUUCUUACAAGAAAAACAUCAGAUGGAUGCACCAAGAAAGUGACAGAGCAAAAAGAAACAACUUGUGCUUCAUAAAGCAAUGAAGUGAGAAUGCUGAAGAACCAUCACCCACAUUGGAAGCACGGACAGCAGGGACUUAUGCUGACAUGUACCAGACCUGGGAUACAAAGGACUCUUUAUACAUGUCGGAGCAGUUGCUGCCAGUAUUCCCAAAAAACGUUCUUCCUUCAAGAAGAUACCGAAUGCUCUGUCCAGAGAGCACUCUCUCCUUCUCAAAUUGCCUACCGCACUACAGGAAAUUUUGAAAAGUCGCACCAGAGAUUAUACCUACAUGUUAAAUCAUUUUAGGAAAAAUAUAA